ensembl:lncRNA
CAACCCAAGCCAUUCUAUGAUUCUCUGAUUCUCUAUGAUACUUGCUUCUAUGAAUGCUGUUUCUGCUGGAAUAAUUUGGUGUAAAAUACUUAGACUUUUCCAAUGACAUGUAAACCUGCAGGGAAUUCAGAUAGAAUGAAGCUGUCAGUACAAGAGCACCAUGUUAGUUCAUCCAUGUGUCUUUUCUCCGGCUCCUGUUCCUUCAAGAGAAUCCAUACUGGCUUUGGAACAGGGAGGUCAUCCUACUCUUCUUCCUGUUGAGCAAAGGGGAACUUUCUGCCCCAGGACCAAACCAAAACACAAUCACCUCUGUGUGUUCACGGUAACAUAGUAGCAUGAAAAUUAUUUUUUCCUUAUGAAUACGUGACACAGUGACACAAGUGACGUGGACUGUGGAAUACCGUUUUCUUGAACACUUUGUGCAAAGGACGGAAAAGAAGAAACUGCAUUAUUUCUGGAUGGUGUAGUGUAUGUUCCUGUAGCUACGUGUACAGCAGAGCACUUAGGGUGGGAAAAAUAGAACAGUCUACACGCUGUAUCACUUUGUAGGUAUGGGAGAACCAGUAAUUGCUCUGUAGCUUUCAAUAGAGCAGCCAACCUAUCUUUAGCGGGGUGCCUGACCAGUGCCUGAGGAGCCUGCUGAAGUUGUUUUGUGCAGGAGGUGGCCUGUCCCAAAGGGGUAAGACAAGGACAAAGUGCAGACAAGGUGCGUAUGCUGAGUGAUUCUUAGUGAGUGAGGCACUGGUAAGACUGGACAAAAUGCAACAUUUUUCUUACCCAGUAACUUGACUGUCAAAACAUACACAUAUUAUUUGUCAUAAAGACUCCAUUCUCUCUUCCUGUUACUUCUGAAACCAAAGAUAGGCAGGCAGCUUCACUCACACAAACUGCAAUGCCGCUGAUAGCAGAAUGCCUUCUGCAAAUCAAAGACAGGGAAAUGCAGCUGUGGUCCUGUGUGGUGGGACCUGAGCACUGAAGUCCUUACUUGACUCUCAGAGAGAUCACCCCCAAAGCAAUCUGGCGAGAGUUUAAGGGAUGGCAGGGAAAUUAAUGAUCUGUAUAUGUUCCCAUUUAUUUCACCUGUGGCAAUUCCCAUGAUGUUUGCCUGACAGUUCCUGUGGUAAGCUGUGUAUUGGGAGAAAUUUUGUAAUAUGUUGCCUCAACUUGGUAAAGAUCUUAGACCUGCCUGCUGUUCGAGAUGUCUGAUUCAUUUUGCUCCUGAUGAGAUUUAUACAUUGAGCUGGGUGAAGUUUUGAUGUUGCUUCUGAAUAAAGUAUUGAUUUAUAC